AACUCCACUGCCAAUCAUGAGUGGACAGGUGAUCUGCUGUGGUGACCCCUAACUGGGAAAAAGCUGAAAGAGGAGGAAGAAGCAUGUAAUGAAAACAACAAACAGAUGUGUGCUGUGCUCUCCAAGCUUGAUAACAAUGCAAAUGGGAGGCUGACAGACCCUUUUGAGUUACAACUUGAGCUCCAUGCUGCAAGAGAUAAACCAAAAAUUGUAAAUAGAAUAAAGAAUCAUACCACUUUCAGAAGGGAUGUCAAACAGUUGGGCGAAAUGCAGAAGUGGAAUUCAAGCAAGGUGAUAGUUGAACUAAUAUAAAAAAUGGAAAUUAUGUCAAACUAUAACUACACCUUUGCAGGCAAGAAUGGCAUUUUUGCUCAUGCCUGAAAUAUGUGUAUGUAUGUACAUAUGUAAAAUGUAUAAAUAUAAAUAAGCUGUUUAAUAGAGUGGCUAUGUUAAUUAUAAAAGAAUAUCUCUAUUGUUGCAUAAAUAAGCUGUUUAAUUGAGUGGCUAUGUUAAGUAUAGAAAUAUAUCUCUAUUGUUUGUUAGUUUUAUGUGCAAUGGUGUUCCUUGAACUAGUGAGCAUGUAUUAUAGAUAUUUUUCAAUGUAGUGACUGAUCAGCAGUUUUUUUUUUUUGCAACAAAAUAUCACACUUGAUUUCACUUGUGAUUUAGAUUGUUUCAUUUUUUACCUGCUACAUCGAAAAUAUCUGUCUAUGCCUACAUAUGAUAGUUAUGAAACAGUCAAAUAAAUAAAACUAUGACUUCACAUGGAA